rnacentral:rRNA from 1 species
CGGACGGGUGAGUAAUGUAUGGGGAUCUGCCUGAUGGCGGGGGAUAACUACUGGAAACGGUAGCUAAUACCGCAUAAUGUCUGCGGACCAAAGCGGGGGGACCUCCGGGCCUCGCGCCAUCAGAUGAACCCAUAUGGGAUUAGCUUGUAGGUAAGGUAACGGCUUACCUAGGCGACGAUCCCUAGCUGGUCUGAGAGGAUGAUCAGCCACACUGGGACUGAGACACGGUCCAG